rnacentral:rRNA from 1 species
CCUACGGGGGGCAGCAGUGAGGAAUAUUGGUCAAUGGACGAAAGUCUGAACCAGCGAAGUAGCGUGAAUGAUGAAUGCCCUAUGGGUGGUAAACUUCUUUUAUAAAGGAAUAAAACGAGGCAAGUGUGCCUAUUUGCAUGUACUUUAUGAAUAAGGAUCGGCUAACUCCUUGCCAGCAGCCGCGGUAAUACGGAGGAUCCGAGCGUUAUCCGGAUUUAUUGGGUGUAAUGGGAGCGUAGAUGGCUUGUUAAGUCAGUUGUGAAAGUUUGCGGCUCAACCGUAAGAUUGCAAUUGAUACUGGCAGUCUUGAGUACAGUUGAGGUAGGCGGAAUUCGUGGUGUAGCGGUGAAAUGCUUAGAUAUUAGGAAGAACCCCGAUUGCGAAGGCAGCUUACUAAACUGUGACUGACAUUGAUGCUCGAAAGUGUGGGUAUCAAACAGGAUUAGAUACCCUAGUAGUC